CCGUAGCCCAAGAGAUCGGGAUAACACCUGGAAACAGAUGCUAAUACCGGAUAACAACAGAUGAUGCCUAUCAACUGUUUAAAAGAUGGUUCUGCUAUCACUCUUGGAUGGACCUGCGGUGCAUUAGCUAGUUGGUGGGGUAACGGCCUACCAAGGCGAUGAUGCAUAGCCGAGUUGAGAGACUGAUCGGCCACAUUGGGACUGAGACACGGCCCAAACUCCUACGGGAGGCAGCAGUG
rnacentral:rRNA from 1 species